UUAACACAUGCAAGUCGAACGGAGCGAAUGAAAGCUUGCUUUUAUGAGCUUAGUGGCAAACGGGUGAGUAACACGUAGACAACCUGCCGACAGGAUGGGGACAACAUUCCGAAAGGAAUGCUAAUACCGAAUGAAGCGGAGGAGAGGCAUCUCUCCUCCGUGAAAGAUGGCCUCUAUUUAUAAGCUAUCACCUGUCGAUGGGUCUGCGUCUGAUUAGCUAGUUGGUGAGGUAACGGCUCACCAAGGCGACGAUCAGUAGCCGGUCUGAGAGGAUGAACGGCCACAUUGGGACUGAGACACGGCCCAGACUCCUACGGGAGGCAGCAGUGGGGAAUCUUCCGCAAUGGGCGCAAGCCUGACGGAGCAACGCCGCGUGAGUGAAGAAGGUCUUCGGAUCGUAAAGCUCUGUUGAUGGGGACGAACGUGCGAAGAG
rnacentral:rRNA from 1 species